CACGUAGGGUGCGAGCGUUGUCCGGAAUUAUUGGGCGUAAAGAGCUCGUAGGCGGUGUGUCGCGUCGGCCGUGAAAACCUGCAGCUUAACUGUGGGCUUGCGGUCGAUACGGGCAUCACUGGAGUUCGGCAGGGGAGACUGGAAUUCCUGGUGUAGCGGUGAAAUGCGCAGAUAUCAGGAGGAACACCGGUGGCGAAGGCGGCACCCUGGACCGG
rnacentral:rRNA from 1 species